rnacentral:rRNA from 1 species
GACUUUCUGGCCCGAUACUGACGCUGGGACGCGAGAGCGUGGGUAGCAAACAGGAUUAGAUACCCUGGUAGUCCACGCUGUAAACGAUGUUCACUAGGUG